rnacentral:lncRNA from 1 species
UUGAUUUUCUAAAAACCGCCAAUAUCAGCUCCAACAACGACAGUUGACUACUGUCUUUAGCUCUUCCGGUUGCUCCGCCGCCGGAGCAAACGCCGCCGCAGCCUCCGCCGCUGGCUAUGGCCACCGUUUCCGUCAUUGAUGGGUUUAUGAUGGGGUUGGUUUUGAAGGUGGUUUGAAAUUGGUUGCCGGCCACUUUUUUUUUUUUUUUUUUUUUUUGGGUUUGAACGGUGAUUACUUAAUUCAUCCUCUAUUUGACUAUUUGUUACUAGAGGUUUUUGGAAUCUUUUGUAUUUAAUGUGUUAUUGAAUGUUUGAUACAAGUUAAAGUUGUUGAAAUAAAGUUAAAAAGAAAGGAUUUUUCUUU